rnacentral:rRNA from 1 species
GACGAACGCUGGCGGCGUGCUUAACACAUGCAAGUCGAACGGAAAGGCCCCCUUGUGGGGUACUCGAGUGGCGAACGGGUGAGUAACACGUGAGUAACCUACCCUUGACUUUGGGAUAACUUCAGGAAACUGGGGCUAAUACCGGAUAGGAGCUCCUGCUGCAUGGUGGGGGUUGGAAGGUUUCGGCGGUUGGGGAUGGACUCGCGGCUUAUCAGCUGGUUGGUGGGGUAGUGGCUCACCAAGGCUUUGACGGGUAGCCGGCCUGAGAGGGUGACCGGCCACAUUGGGACUGAGAUACGGCCCAGACUCCUACGGGAGGCAGCAGUGGGGAAUAUUGCACAAUGGGCGGAAGCCUGAUGCAGCAACGCCGCGUGCGGGAUGACGGCCUUCGGGUUGUAAACCGCUUUCGCCUGUGACGAAGCGUGAGUGACGGUAAUGGGUAAAGAAGCACCGGCUAACUACGUG